CUUUCUGACCCUACAGCUCCAUUCAGAAUCGUGGAGCUUAGUGGUCUUGCGUCUCAGCAGAAGAAUGAUUGUGGAGCAUAUGUUGCUGCCUUUGCUGAAUUCUUUAUACACGGAAAGGAUGUCCCUGCAGACUUUGACAUCGAAGUUUAUCGAACCCGACUUGCUUCACUUUUCUACUCGUACGGACAAAGGAAAAUUGACGAAAGUAUUGACAGCGAGGAUGAGAAGCAAACCAAGUCUUCUAAGGCAUCUAAAUUGAAGAAAUAGGAUCUUUUAAUUUGGUGGCUCUAUUAUGCUAUUUGUUGAAUCUAUUUACUUGACAAGUUUUAGUGUUGUUGUUUCAAUGUAGGUAUUAUAUUUGAUUUUAUACUAUGUAGCUGGUUUAAAACUUUUAGGAUAUUUGACAUUCACUCCUUAUAAUAUCUUUAUUGUAUAGGUUUGUAUUUCCCAAAGUUGUGUGUUUUUUUAAUUGUUCAAGUUCUUAUAUACGGUCGCACAACUAUGGAGAAACUAUUAACCAACUAAAUACAAACUAUGUUUUCAUUUUUCCUAAAUAGUGCUAUGAAUGUAUAUUUAUUCUUCGUAUUCCA